UGACAGUCGAACGAACUCUGGUAUUGAUUGGUGCUUGCAUCAUGAUUUACAUUUGAGUGAGUGGCGAACUGGUGAGUAACACGUGGGAAACCUGCCCAGAAGCGGGGGAUAACACCUGGAAACAGAUGCUAAUACCGCAUAACAACUUGGACCGCAUGGUCCGAGCUUGAAAGAUGGCUUCGGCUAUCACUUUUGGAUGGUCCCGCGGCGUAUUAGCUAGAUGGUGGGGUAACGGCUCACCAUGGCAAUGAUACGUAGCCGACCUGAGAGGGUAAUCGGCCACAUUGGGACUGAGACACGGCCCAAACUCCUACGGGAGGCAGCAGUAGGGAAUCUUCCACAAUGGACGAAAGUCUGAUGGAGCAACGCCGCGUGAGUGAAGAAGGGUUUCGGCUCGUAAAACUCUGUUGUUAAAGAAGAACAUAUCUGAGAGUAACUGUUCAGGUAUUGACGGUAUUUAACCAGAAAGCCACGGCUAACUACGUGCCAGCAGCCGCGGUAAUACGUAGGUGGCAAGCGUUGUCCGGAUUUAUUGGGCGUAAAGCGAGCGCAGGCGGUUUUUUAAGUCUGAUGUGAAAGCCUUCGGCUCAACCGAAGAAGUGCAUCGGAAACUGGGAAACUUGAGUGCAGAAGAGGACAGUGGAACUCCAUGUGUAGCGGUGAAAUGCGUAGAUAUAUGGAAGAACACCAGUGGCGAAGGCGGCUGUCUGGUCUGUAACUGACGCUGAGGCUCGAAAGUAUGGGUAGCAAACAGGAUUAGAUACCCUGGUAGUCCAUACCGUAAACGAUGAAUGCUAAGUGUUGGAGGGUUUCCGCCCUUCAGUGCUGCAGCUAACGCAUUAAGCAUUCCGCCUGGGGAGUACGGCCGCAAGGCUGAAACUCAAAGGAAUUGACGGGGGCCCGCACAAGCGGUGGAGCAUGUGGUUUAAUUCGAAGCUACGCGAAGAACCUUACCAGGUCUUGACAUACUAUGCAAAUCUAAGAGAUUAGACGUUCCCUUCGGGGACAUGGAUACAGGUGGUGCAUGGUUGUCGUCA
rnacentral:rRNA from 2 species